rnacentral:rRNA from 1 species
AGUGAACGCUGGCGGCGUGCUUAACACAUGCAAGUCGAACGAGAACGGAUUAUAGCUUGCUAUAAUUGUCAGCUAAGUGGCGCACGAGUGAGUAAUGUAUAGGUAAUAUGCCUCUUACUAAGGGGUAACAAAUGGAAACGUUUGCUAAUACCUUAUACUCCUUAUUAACAGAAGUUAAUAAGGGAAAGAUUUAUUGGUAAGAGAUUAGCCUGUAUUGUAUCAGUUAGUUGGUGGGGUAAUGGCUUACCAAGACUAUGACACAUAACUGGUUUGAGAGGAUGAUCAGUCACACUGGAACUGAGACACGGUCCAGACUCCUACGGGAGGCAGCAGUGGGGAAUAUUGCACAAUGGACGAAAGUCUGAUGCAGCAACGCCGCGUGGAGGAUGACACAUUUCGGUGCGUAAACUCCUUUUAUAUGAGAAGAUAAUGACGGUAUUAUAUGAAUAAGCACCGGCUAACUCCGUGCCAGCCGCCGCCGUAAUAC